rfam:Myotis davidii contig21937, whole genome shotgun sequence.
GGUGGUUCUCGGGUGAUGCACCCUGGAAUCGGGCUCCUUUCUCUCUUGUUUUGGGUGCAUCACCCAAGAACCGCA